UCAACUGUUGCCCUUCCAUUUAGCUUCCCAUUAUUCUUCUUUCAUUUGUUCAUUCUCUUUUGCAUUUAAAAAAAAUUAUUCAUUCUCUUAUAUUCAUCGAAACCAGCGCCUCUUAUUUUCUAUUUUGAAUUUUGAAUUAUUUAUCUUACUUUUCAUUCAUUUGUUUUCUAUUUGGUUUCUUCGUUUCUGCAGCAUGCAGGUGGCAAUUUUCUCAGGGGCCUCGAUGAUCAGGUACCACUCAUUCAUUCCCUUCGGGCUUCAAAUCAUAUCAGUUCCUUUUCGGAUUCUUCCACUGUUGCACCAUUAAUCAGGUUUUAGAUAACCCAUCGUUCCGUUUGCUCUUCCCCGAGUACAGUUCUCAUUCCGACGUUCCAUAUCUCGCAAAAGUGCGUAUUUUAUCAGAGAGGGAAAAACGGAUGGCUCGACUGGAAAAAAGGAUGGCUUUGUACAUUUUAGCGUCGCUCGACUCCCUCCAUUCCUCGACUCAAUCCAGAAAAGGUUCGAAAUAUUAGCGGAAUCUAGCUUUUGAAGUAGCCCCAUUAGUCGUCUUCUUCAAUUGGAAAUGCAGAGCCACGAGUCAAGAAAAACUCGAGAUCUGCGAUGCUUCAUCUCUACCAACGGUGGGGUUCCAGUCCUACCACCGCUUGGUGGCAGCGCAAGGCCUCUGCAAUGGGGAGUCUCCAGGGGAGGUGACAGGUGCAAGCCUAAAAAGUGCCAUCAAUAAUGCAAAGAGUUGUCCUGUUGUGGGAAUGGGUAAUUCAAGAGUCUGUCUAUAAUUGAGUUGUCAGAUUUCGGCUUUUUCGUAAUUAUGGCUUGAGGUCAUUCUUUCGUAGCGAACAAAGCAUUGAUGGCGUUAGCAAAAUCAUAGAGGGCUGUAAUCCAGCAGCUUGGUUGGAAAUCACAACUUCAGCACAAUAGCAUCUUCUGAAAUCUGAAUGAAGUAGCAAACCACUGUUUCGAGAAUGCAUCAGAUAAAGGAAUAUUACAGAUAAAAUUAAUCAAGUCUCUUUACCAUAUUUCUUUAUCAUAUUCUUUUAUCAUAUCAAGCCUGUUUUUGUAAUGUUAGAGUUGCGGCCCUAAAUUUUUUUCAACUUGGUUGAAACAUGACAGCCUUUUCAUUGUAAGUUUCUAUUUGAGUUCUAGCAUUAUAGAAUCUAACUGAUGAGUUUUUAAUUUGUUUUUCAUUAGGCAGCACAACCUGUAAGUGGCAACAAACGUGUUUCUUUUUCAGUACAAAUCUCGGAUGGAUGAUGGGAAAACAGUGUAAUGGUCCAGAAAAAAAUAAAAAUAAAAAUAAAUAAUUAAUGAAAUUAAUUAAUAUAUAACUUUGUUUUAAUAGUAAUUAUAUUAAUUUUGAGAAUUUGUUUAGCAAGAAGAGUUGGUUUAGUGGCUAGUAUGUAAUCAGUUAUUCAAUAGGUCCCAAGUUUGAACCAUUUUUGGAGCAUGAAUGAGAAGUUUCUUUCUUUUGUGUUGGCCUAUAGAAAGUUACCAUUUUUGCCCUUAGAACAAUAACAAAUGCAAUAAAGUAGGUUCAAGACAGAAUAUAUGUAUACUCCUCCAACAAAGCUGAGUCGGUUUACAGAGAAAAGAGAGAGAGAGAGCAAUAAAAAUCUGCUUGGCUCACUGUUCUACCAGGAACCUUCGAGAGAGUGUGUCUUCUGAUCUCUAGCCUCUUCUGUAAGUGCUUCCUUCCGCCCUUUUCUCCAUCAUCACAUCGUCGCUGGCGUAGAUCUCAAGCCCACCACAAGUUCACUGCUGUUCCUCUUCCUUGGUUUCUUCGGUGCGGAUUCACUUAAGCCUUCCCCGUUGUCUUCCCUAUCACGUUUGCACCGUUGGUGUGUGAGGAGUUGAGUCACUGGAGCUGGAAGAUUCAGCUCGCAAGUCCUUUCCUCCCUCGUUCAUCCGUGAGGAUCAUCACUUUCUUCACUGCUUCGUGCUCCCUGUUUCUGUUGUUUUUUUUUUCUGCUGCACCGUCUGUGUCGUUCUGGGUUGAAAAAACACAAAGCAUCAGAAUUGGGGUGGGGCUGUUGCUGUGAGCUCGUAUUGGUGCUGUGGAGUCAGGCUUCUUUUCUUUGCUGUGCAUGGUGACAGUGCUGUUUGUCCUCUCCCCUGUUCAGCCAUAAACCCCAACAUCUCUGUUUUUUUUUUCCUCUUUCGGUCUGUGGCGUUGAUAAGGUGAGGGAUCUUCAUGUUUCAUUUUUUCUUAGUCUGCACGAAUGUGAUUAGUUGUUGAAGUUGCAAAAUUUAUGCCUCUGUUAGUGCUGUUGCCGUGCUGUUGUAGGGGGAGAAUAUUCAAAUUUGAGAUAGAAACCUAUUUUAAAGCUUGGUAAUAAUAUAUACAUAUACGCACACACAUGUACGUAUAUGAGUUAUAAUUUUGAAGCUAGGUAGAUCUUAUUUGGAUUGACUUAUGUUAAGGAAAUUAUUAAGGAAAGGUUGGAAGAUGAUAGCUUUGAUAUAUUACUUGAAUAUUGGCAUCAACGGGAUGCUUAUUGAAAUGUUUGAAAUAAUUUUAAAGCAUGAAUUUUGGUUUUAAAUUUUAAAUAAUAAUGGUUGAUGGAAAUUAUAUUAGGAGUGGAAGGAAGUCUUUGUAAAUUAAAGGAUGAUUUAUUAAAUUUUGUUUACUAAUAUCUUUAUAGGACGUGUGGAAGAAGAAGAUCCCGAUAGAAAUUGAAGAAAGAAUAUUUUGGAAAUUUGAAACUUCAACUAGUAAGUAAAUAGCAUUUUCUUUAAUUUAUUUUAUUGGAAUACACUUUUAUUGUAACAAUUUACUCUUAUGAAUUUCAUUAGUUUUGGAAAUUAUGGAGCACUAAUGAUGGAUAAUUGGAUGAUGAUAUGUGCAUUAUUUUCUCAAGAAAUAUAUUUUGAAGAGUUAUGAAAUUAUUUUGUUUAUUAAACUCAGGAGAUGUCUGGCUAUUCAAUUAACGCAAGCUUGCAUAGUUUUUAUGACAUUAUUUUCGACAGGUAUUAUACUGGAAGUUGAAAUGAUUCAUAUGAGUAGAUAUUAAAAAUAUAAAUUGUAUUUCAGAAGUGAUUAUUUUCUCCCAUAUUUGAAACAUGAUUGUAGAGGACUCUAACAGAUCACUGCUGCUAAUGGCAGUUCCAUUAGCCCAUAGCGUGCUGUGGUUGAAAACUAGCUAAUUUGUCUCGUGGGCUUUAUUCUCACAUUUGAUAUUCGUGGGCGGUGUACCCGCAUUUGAUUCUGUGGCCUGAGCCGCUUUUGGUUAGCUUUACUCUCGUGGACUCUGUCUCCAUGUUUGUUUCUUAACUUUGGCUACGUUUGGUUACUUACUCUCAUGGACUGUGUGUCCACAUUUGUUUUCGUGCCAUAAGCCGCUUUUAGUUAUUUACCUUCGUGGAUUAUGUGUCCACCUUGUUACUUGUUCUGUUGAAUUAUCAAAAAUUUUAAAUGUUGACUAAUAUGUGUUUUCGAAAUUUACAUGAUUUUAGUUAGUAAUUAUAUUACUCUGAUUUAUGUGUGAAUAAAUUGUUUUCUUUAAGCAUGAUAAAAUAAUUUGUUUUCAAUUUACUCUCAUUGUACGUUUAUGGUUAUGAUUUACAGACUUGUAAGUUUAUUAUGUUGAAUCAUUAUCUUUUUAAUUAGUUUACACUAUUAUUUGAGUUUGUUAAUUUAAAUUUUUAAAUUCUACUUUGGGAAUGCUAUUCACUGGAAAACUUAUUUUGGCCUCAGAUUUGUUAGCUGACGCUAAUCCCACCAUUGACCUCUAAAAGCAAUGAAUUUAUGCAAUAGAGGUUGGUGGCACAGCUACAUUGAUUUGCUGAAAAUUGAAGCUUCAAUUUUGAUUUCGUGGGUUAGAGUUUUGUUUGAAAAAACGCAAAUUAUAUUUUUGUGAAUCAUGCAUGAAUAGGUUCUACUAAAAAUAUGAUUCAGCUGUAAAAUUUUAUUCUGGACAUCAAAAUUAAAGAGCAAGCAUUGGAUUUUAUUGUUGAAACUUGUAGGUAGUUUAUUAGUUAGUGAAUCAAAUUGAAGCUAUGCAUGGUCAAAUUUCUUUUGUUAGCAAGCUUUGAAUACAUGCUUGUGUGGAUUGUGGAUGAUUAUGGAGGAAUUGGCGAUUGGAUGCAUGUGUUUCUUUUACAUAGAGCAUUGUACACAUUCUUUCUUUUGU